rnacentral:tRNA from 1 species
UGGGGGGUAGUUUAAAGUAAAAUAUUGGUUUUGGGGACCAAAGAUUGAGGAGGUAGGCUCACUCCCUGA